rnacentral:rRNA from 1 species
CCUCUUGCCAUCAGAUGUGCCCAGAUGGGAUUAGCUAGUAGGUGGGUAACGGCUCACCUAGGCGACGAUCCCUAGCUGGUCUGAGAGGAUGACCAGCCACACUGGAACUGAGACACGGUCCAGACUCCUACGGGAGGCAGCAGUGGGGAAUAUUGCACAAUGGGCGCAAGCCUGAUGCAGCCAUGCCGCGUGUAUGAAGAAGGCCUCGGGUUGUAAAGUACUUUCAGCGGGGAGGAAGGGAGUAAAGUUAAUACCUUUGCUCAUUGACGUUACCCGCAGAAGAAGCACCGGCUAACUCCGUGC